GACGAACGCUGGCGGCGUGCUUAACACAUGCAAGUCGAACGGAAAGGCCCUGCUUUUGUGGGGUGCUCGAGUGGCGAACGGGUGAGUAACACGUGAGUAACCUGCCCUUGACUUUGGGAUAACUUCAGGAAACUGGGGCUAAUACCGGAUAGGAGCUCCUGCUGCAUGGUGGGGGUUGGAAAGUUUCGGCGGUUGGGGAUGGACUCGCGGCUUAUCAGCUUGUUGGUGGGGUAGUGGCUUACCAAGGCUUUGACGGGUAGCCGGCCUGAGAGGGUGACCGGCCACAUUGGGACUGAGAUACGGCCCAGACUCCUACGGGAGGCAGCAGUGGGGAAUAUUGAACAAUGGGCGGAAGCAUGAUGCAGCAACGCCGCGUGCGGGAUGACGGCAUUCGGGUUGUAAACCGAUUUCGCCUGUGACGAAGCGUGAGUGACGGUAAUGGGUAAAGAAGCACCGGCUAACUACGU
rnacentral:rRNA from 1 species